rnacentral:rRNA from 1 species
GACAGAGGCCUCGAGCGUUAGGCGGAAUCACUGGGCUUAAAGCGUGUAUAGGCGGAUCGUUAAGUGCCUUGUGAAAUCCCACGGCUUAACUGUGGAACGGCUGGGCAUACUGGCGGUCUUGAGCCAUCUAGGGGCGACUGGAACAAACGGUGGAGCGGUGAAAUGCGUAGAUAUCGUUUGGAACGCCAAUGGUGAAAACAGGUCGCUGGGGAUGAGCUGACGCUGAGACACGAAAGCCAGGGGAGCAAACGGG